rnacentral:lncRNA from 1 species
CAGUUCUAUACCUUUGCAGAAAUGCUGUUUUACUGUCUUUCCACAAAGAGCAUGUAAGCGACAGUCCCAUUGUGGCCGGACCAGCACUGUGUAUGAUCACUUUAAAAAUCUUGGCUAUAAAAUCUAGACAUUCAGCCUUGCUUUUUUUACCUUACCUACCUGGCAGAUCUUUCCAGGACAUUGUCUCAAGCACCUUGGCUUGCAAAGAAUACUGUACAGCUGACACAAAAAAACCCCCAAGGCAGGAAAAUACAAACUGGCAUAUUGAAUCAAAACAAGAUCAUAUGAAAUAAGGAGCAAAGUGAAAUGUCUGUCAAUGGUUUUAAUUACAGUACAAACAACAUAAAUAAAGCGUCAUUGAGUCAUUGUGAAACACAAACUUGCGGAAUGAGGUAAUAUAAAAACCAAAAAAAAAAAACAAAAACCAAAAAAAAACCAAACCCAACCCAUCUCUGGAUAAACCCCAGACUGCUCUUCCAUCUUCUGUACAUUGCUAUUUACAGAAACAGGAAAACAUGCUAAGAGGGUGUGUUGAGGCACGGCCUUCCCCGCUCCCUCCUAGAAAUGCUCCUCACCUUUGACCUGCUUGGGCUCCCCUUUCAGAAACAGACCCCGUGGCCAGAUGAGAAGCCAAUUCGAAGUCACGGGGGACAGGAGAGUGGAGGCUGCUGUCUGGGGCAGGAAGCCACAUGCCCGUGGUUGGGGUGGCCAACCCUUCCAGCCCCUCCCCUUCCAGGGCUCAGUGGGGGGCCUCUGAUCUAGUGCUAAGCGGCACUCCCCCCAGCAUUCGGGUGCUCAGGGUGGGGCAGGGGUUGCAGCCUCAGGAAUUUGAUAUAUUUUAGACCCAAAAACCCACUGGAGGAGGAAAACUGCGAUGCUGUCCAAGGUUUGGAGAAGGCAUUAUUUCUAACAUCAAGAUGCGUGAACUGCCACAAAGCAGUUUCUAAACGUACCCGUUGCCCAUCCGCCAUGGGACACCCCGAUCCUCACCCGAGUCCGCUUGUGCACCCCGGUAACAGUGGUGGUGAGAAAAUCGCUGAGACCCCUGGGGGUGGGGCUGGGAGGCCCGUGGGGUGCUCUGUGAGCAGUAAGCGGGAACUAAUUCCCCAGCCUGGCCCCAGCUCACGGCACCCGUGGUCCGUUCUGUCCGCCCCGGAGAACCCAGGCAGGACAUGUUUUCUGACGGCCACUCAGUGGAAGGUCAAGCGCAGGGCUGAGAGCAAUGGCCAUCGGCUGGGCUGCCCGUUAGUGUCUUUACAAGAGGCCUGUCACUGAGGAUUUCUACGUACAGGUAUGAUACCACGGGUGGAAAGACCAGGGACGUCCGGACACAAGUAAUCACUGAGUGAGCUUCUACAAGAGUUUUCAAACCAGCUCAGACAUUAGUUUCCUGGGCCGUGGUGGACACUGCCUGGCACCUCGGAGAUCAGUGCAUAAUCUGAUUUAGGGGCGACUGUCCUGGACAGCGGGUCUGUUAAGGGGGUUUGUUCCAUCCCGAAGAUUCCCCAACACCCUGGAAUCUUGCUUGGUUCCUUUCUUUCACCUGCAUCUCGGGACAAAGGUCAUGGAUUUCCCACUGACAGAGAAUUCGAGGUCAGUCCUAAAUGGACUUUGACAGGCGAGUCUCUAUCAUCUGGCUUGAUCAUGACCCUUGGGGGGGGGGGGGCGGUGUCCCUCUCUACAGAUGCCACAUGCCUGGCCAAAAUAAAAAACAAGCCCCGAGCGGACCUCUCGUACAUGUCGAGCGGCUGCUGGGUGCUGGGUGUCACGUGGCUAGAAGCCAGGGCUCAUCUGUCCAUUUCACUGGGGCCACUCUCGUCUGAAGACUUGCAACCUCCAGGGCCCCGGCCAGUCCCUGCUGGGCACGCUGGACCCAACCUACCCACCUCCGGGCCCCAAAGGCCCUUUGGAUGGGAUGAAGGCCUCAGACAAGGACAUUUUUAUCGAUCAGGCGCAGCGCCCAAAACCCAAGGCUGUCAUUUGAUAGCAAAAAUCAGCACUUCAUAAAUGAAACGCGGCACGGAGAGCUUCUCAGAUUUGCGGGCUCCGCACCUACCCCUUGCUUCGGGGAGGGUGCCUACUACACUGGCGAAACCGAAACCCUGCUAAAACCUGUGCUUUUUAAAAAUCACAGAUUAAAAACAGACUUUUCGAUUUUCCAGAAUCUUCUACCAAUGAAAUGUGCUCCAAUUUCAACUCUGACCCAAACUGAAGAACCCAAAUGGAAGCAAGUGUCCACCCAGGUUUACAAAGCAGCAGACAUCCAACGUUCAACAGGGACUCUAUUAACAUUAAAAAUAAAUCUAUUUAAGGACAGCUUGUCUUCUCUAAGGGGAAGAACAUCGUGUUUUGGAAAUACUCAUGCCUAAGUUGUCACAUGUUGCUUUUUCCUCGGGAGCUGAGAGGUGAGGGUCCAACGUGGGGGGCUGGCCUGCCUGGCAGUGCUCUCUCUCAUCACGGGGGUUCCCAGCGGCUACUUCUCGGCAGUGAUGGAGACAGAAGUCUGAGCACAGCUUCCACCGACCCCACCCGGGCACCCCGCCCCUUCUCUCUGCUGCAUAACUAGAAGGAUAGGAUUUU